AAAGAAAUAAUAAAAAAAAAGCUUCUAACUUUUACCAGAGCAUCAAAUUGUUCAUAUUUCUU
rnacentral:tRNA from 1 species